UGCGAGUUCGCGGGAGAGUAAGUUAUUGCCAGGGUUUUUAUUUUAUACUUUAAACAUUGAUUUUAUUUUUUAUGUUUUUAGAUGUUCAUGUUUUUGAAUGUUUUAUUCGAAUAAUAUAAAAAAUAAAAUAUAUAUUGACAUGGAUUAAACAAAGAUAUAUAUUAUUCUAUGUUGUAUAAACAAAUUGGCAAAAUAGAGAUGGAAGAUAAAAAUAUGGUCAAAGUAAUAAGAGUCUAUGGUGAAUGCCUAGGAGC
rnacentral:misc_RNA from 1 species